AUUACAAGGACAUUUUGUACGUCAGCCAUUCUGAAAAGCAGUUAGGUUAAGAUCAGAUAGUUACAAGGACAUUUUGGAUGUGCAUCAGCCAUUUUGU